ACAGGGAGCAUGCGCAUAUCAAGGCCGCGCUGCCAUUUUGAUGGCAGUGAUCAACACCGCAUAGUUUCUAUUUCAUAAGUACAUAUUCGAGCUGGCUUUAACCCAGCACGACACCUACUAAGGUAUCGUGUUUAUUAAAGAUAAGUAUAUAACGCGGGCAUCAUAAAUAAUCCGAACAACAAUAAAACAGAUGGACGGAGAGGACGACGACGUUGUAUCCGCCAGCCGCUCCGAUGAUGGCGGUGGUACACCUGUACAAGACGAACACCCAGCAUCAGAAGAUGAGCAGGCGAUGCCCACAAAACAUAAUUCAGAGGACGACGGCAGUGAGGGUGAGGACGGCCCCCAUCCCAUGGAGACCAGCGGCCCGGCCAGUGGCUCCGACAACGAGGGCCCGGCAAGGGGCCACAGCGACUCGGAGGGAGAGGUCCCUGGGCGUAACCGUGGAAACAACAGUGACUCCGAGGGAGAAGCCCCUCGGCGUAACUCUGGCAACAACAGCGACUCAGACGUAGAGGCCCCCGGGCGUAACCGUGGAAACAACAGUGACUCGGACGUAGAGGCCCCCGGGCGUAACCGUGGAAACAACAGUGACUCCGACGUAGAGGCCCCCGGGCGUAACCGUGGAAACAACAGCGACUCCGAGGUAGAGGCCCCUGGGCGUAACCGUGGAAACAACAGUGACUCCGACGUAGAGGCCCCCGGGCGUAACCGUGGAAACAACAGUGACUCCGAGGUAGAGGCCCCUGGGCGUAACCGUGGAAACAACAGUGACUCCGAGGUAGAGGCCCCUGGGCGUAACCGUGGGAACAACAGUGACUCCGAGGUAGAGGCCCCUGGGCGUAACCGUGGAAACAACAGUGACUCCGAGGUAGAGGCCCCUGGGCGUAACCGUGGAAACAACGGUGACUCCGAGGUAGAGCGGCCCAGGCCCGCGGACAGCGAUGAGGAAGACUCCGCUUUGAAGAGCCGAGGAAGUGAGGAGGACAGGAGGACCCCUCCCCGUGCCAAACACAGCCCCUCCUCUUCCCCGAGCUCCACCCCUAACGCAGGUGGAAAACCAGACGGCAGCACACCUGCGAGGAAGAAGAUUGCCGCCCUGCACUCAGACGACGAUGAAGAGGAGGAGGCGGGGGCUGUCGGGACGCAGGGAGCAGAGGCCGACGGGGCGAAGUGGAAGGCAGUGAUGAUGUCGGACAGCGAGGAUGAGGCGGGGGAGGAACGGAAGGCUGACAACGAAGAGGAGAAGGCGAAACGGACAGAAGAUAGCCAUGAUGAAGACGCUGGAACAGUGAAGAGGAAGAAGGCCGUCCUCUCAGACAGCGAGGACGACGACACUCCUACACCAGUGAAGCGCAGCAGAGCCGUGUCCGACGAGGAGAACUCGGACUCCGAGGGUCCGGACCGCAAAAUGGCAGCCAAGCUGAGGGAGCUGGGGUCCGACAGCGAGGACGAGGACGGUCCUGCCAAGACCAAGGACGAGAAGACGCUGUUUGGCAGUGACAGCGAGUCGGGAGAGGACCAGGAGGAGAAGAUGAUUGCGGACAUCUUUGGAGAGUCGGGAGACGAGGAGGAAGAGGAGUUUACGGGUUUCAACCAGGAGGAACUGGAGGGGCAGCAGAAGGUAGAGAACCAGCCAGCUGAGGAAGACUCUGAUUCGGAUGAAGGAGUCGACCGUAGUGGCAAAGACACCAGCAUGAUGUCAGACUUCGACAUCAUGCUGGCGCGUAAGAAGGCAGCGGGCGGGAAGCGCAGGAGGAACCGAGACGGAGGAACGUUCAUCAGCGACGCCGACGACGUCGUCAGCGCCAUGAUCAUCAAGAUGAACGAGGCCGCAGAGGAGGACAGAACGCUCAACGCUCAAAAGAAGCCAGCGCUGAAGAAACUCACACUGCUGCCUGCGGUUGUCACGCAUCUCAAGAAGCAGGAUCUGAAGGAGACGUUCAUCGACAGCGGCGUGAUGACGGCCAUCAAGGAGUGGAUCGGCCCCUUGCCAGACAAGAGCCUCCCUGCCCUCCGCAUCCGAGGGGAGCUGCUCAAGAUCCUGCAUGAGCUUCCCAGCGUGAGCCAGGAAACUCUGAAACACAGCGGCAUCGGACGUGCGGUCAUGUUCCUCUACAAGCACCCCAAGGAGUCGCGACCCAACAAAGACCUGGCUCUCAAACUCAUCAACGAGUGGUCCCGACCCAUCUUUGGUCUGACGUCCAACUACAAGGGGAUGACCCGAGAGGAACGGCAACAGAGAGACCUGGACCAGCAGAUGCCCCAGAAGAGGGGACUAAGUCAGGCACACAAGGAGGUGAAGGCGUCGGAGCCUGAUGUCUUCUCUCCUACAACCAGUUCUGGCGGUCAGACUCCCCGUCGGGACCUAGAGAAGCAACUCACUGGAGAGGAAAAGGCUCUGCGACCUGGGGAGCCAGGCUUCUGUGCCCGGGCCAGGGUACCCAUGCCCUCCAACAAGGACUACGUAGUCCGACCCAAGUGGAACAUAGAGAUGGAGUCUAGCAGGAGUGGAUUUAAGAAAGGCGUCAGUCGAUUGGAGAAGCACAAGCGUCGUUUUGCUGAGCAGAAGAAACGGGGGCGCCUGCAAGGAGCCAUCAAGAUCAGUGUGCAGGGGAACCACAUGCCCUUGUAGUACCUGCUGCUACCCAUUGGGGGCAGUAAGUACCAUCCUGUAGUACUUGCUGCUACACAUAGGGGCAGGACCCAUGAAGAAGGGAGUGUCUCGCGUGUACAAACAGACGCGGCGCUCACGGGACAUCCUGCGGCUCACCAAGACGGGCCACGCCGUCAAGAUCAGCGUGGAGGGGAGAAGCCUGCCGCUCUGACUUCACCCACCUCGCCCCUGCCUAUUUUAGUUUAUUUUUAAUAAUUUGCUCAGAAACCCCCCCUCCCCUGUGUGUGUGUGUGUGUGUGUGUGUGUGUGUGUGUGUGUGUGUGUGUGUGUGUGUGUGUGUGUGUGUGUGUGUGUGUGUGUGUGUGUGUGUGUGUGUGUGUGUGUGUGUGUGUGUGUGUGUGUGUCACACUCAGUACCCAGGGAUGUUUAAUGUGACCGGCGUGUGAGUGUGCACCCUGUUCUACGGUAGAAGAAUCUUUUCAUAUUAAACAGAGUUCUGCUCAAA